CAAGGAGACAACACACACAGCACACAGGACAGGCAAGGAGACAGCACACAACACACAGAAAGACAGACAAGGCAAUGAAGGAUGUAGGAACACAGGUGACCUCACCCACUCACUGGAACUGUCAACUCAAAGGCUUACAGAUUGCUACGUGUCACCCUCAUCUGCUCAAGGAUGAAACUUGGAAGGAGAGUGGCUGUCUAAACCUCCUGUGUUAUGUACCAUUUCCCUCUCUAGGUAAAUUAAGGAUUCCAGGUCUCUCUCUCCCCCUCUCUAUUUCUCUCUGAUCUGGAAUUCAAAGACCAUUCUUUACAUCUAAACGUUCUUGUUUGUCCUGGGGGGAUGAACAUGAAGUCCUGUACAUGCUAAGUGGGUAUUCUACCACUGAACUAUACUCAGAGGCCUAGAUUUAUUUUUUCUUUUCUGAGACAAGGUCUUAUAUAUUCUAAGCUGGCCUCUAACUUGCUAUGUAGCUAAGGAUGACCUUGAAUUCUGAUCUACUUGCCUCCCACCUCUACUUGCUGGAAUUAAUGACAUCUAUCAUGCUUGGUUUAGGGGACCCUAGGGAUCAAGCUCAGGGUUUUGUGCAUGCUAGAUAGCACUCUGCCAAUGGAGCCACAGCCCGGACCCAUUCUCACAUAUUUCAAAUGUUACCUAGUGCAUUUUAUGAAGUCAUUUUAUGAAGAUGACGAAGACCUGCAUUUUGUCUAGUAUAAAAAGACAAGGCAAGAUGUGAAGACGGGUUCCUUGGAGAUACCCAGGUAGAGAGUGGAAACUCUGAGGCUCUGCGAGAGGAAAGCCCCAAUGGUACCUGUGUUGGUGAGCUGUACGUCAACUCAACACAAGCAAGAGUAUUGGAGCCUCAAUUGAGAAAACGCCUCCAUGAGGUCUGGUUGUAGGUAAACCUGUGGGGCACUUUCUCAAUGAGUGAUUGAUGGGGGAGGGUACAGGCCAUUGUGGGUGGGGCCCCCCCUGGGCUGGUGGUCCUCUGUUCCUUAAUAAAGCAGGCUGAGCAAGCCAUGUAGGGUAAGCCAGUAAGCAGCACCCCUCUAUGUCCUUACAACAGCUCCCCCUCCAGGUUCCUGCUUAGUCUGAGUUCCUGCCUUGGCUUUCCUCACUGGACUGUGAUUCAGGGUAUAUAAGCCAUACAACUCCUUUCCUCCCCAAGUUGCCUUGGUCAUGGUGUUUCACCACAGCAACAGUAAGUCUGACUAGAACAGGGUUUCUUCUUCUUUGUAAUAACAAAAGCAGAUUUCUGUUGUACUCUAAUGUAGGAAAGCUGGUGUCAAAUGUGUUGUGUUAAACAUGAGGGGGCAAAGUGAGGCUGCAGACGUUAAGCAGGAGAACACAGAGCCCUGCAAGCCGCGUUCAUUUACAUUUUGCAGAAAGAUGCAGGAUUACCAUUCCCUCAUUCCUUCAGUGGAUAUCAAAUAGUUGAGCACACAAUGAACAAUAAAAACGAAAACAAAGAACAAUAGAUUGCAUUAAACAUAAAAAAAAAAACCUCUCAGAUUUGAAUAACUCCUAUUUAAUGUCCAAGUCUGAGUCAUUCCUAUGAUCAAUACUGGUAUGGCGGGUAUAGUUUGGUGAGGGCCUGGUUCAGCCCCACAUCACCCACGGGUGCUCAUACCCCUUAAGGAGCACUGGCUUUCGACUGUCACUGGGGUACUCUGAGGAGCGAGGUUCUCUGCCUCCAGGAGUUGCAGCCUCCUGCUGUAAAGACUCAAGUAGUUGCUGCAUUUAUCCUGGUAUGCAGCUGCUAUCUCUUUUAUAUGGCUAUCUAAUUUUAUACAUCCA
rnacentral:sRNA from 1 species